UUUCCGUAGGUGAACCUGCGGAAGGAUCAUUACCGAGUUUAGGGUCUGACGCCUUUUGGUGUUGGCCCGAACCUCCCAACCCUUUGUCUAUGAUACCAUACAGUUGCUUCGGCGUGCCGAGGGUUAAGACUCUCGCCGGACUUCCAGUCGGGAGCGUGCACGUCGACGGCCUCACUAAACUAUUGGACCCAAAACCUGUCGUCUGAACAUUUGUGAUUACUAUAAUCAAAAACAAAACUUUCAACAACGGAUCUCUUGGUUCUGGCAUCGAUGAAGAACGCAGC
rnacentral:misc_RNA from 1 species